CUUGGUCAUUUAGAGGAAGUAAAAGUCGUAACAAGGUUUCCGUAGGUGAACCUGCGGAAGGAUCAUUAGUGAAUUGAGCUGGCUUCGGCCGCUCUGAUCUAUACACACCUGUGAACUGUUGGCCUUCGGGUCUUUAAAUACAACUGUGACGAACGUAAAUUAUUAUAAUCAAUAAAACUUUUAACAACGGAUCUCUUGGCUCUCGCAUCGAUGAAGAACGCAGCGAAAUGCGAUAAGUAAUGUGAAUUGCAGAAUUCAGUGAAUCAUCGAAUCUUUGAACGCACCUUGCGCCCGUUGGUAUUCCGACGGGCAUGCCUGUUUGAGUGUCGUGAACAACCUCAACCUUGAUUGGUUUUACCAUCAAGGCUUGGACUUGGGUGUUGCUGCUGCAAAGUGGCUCGCCUUAAAACUAUUAGCUGGACUUGUCUAUGACUUGGUUCGACUCGAUGUAAUAAGUAUUCAUCGGGGACAGGGUUAAACCUGGCCAAGGCUUGAUGCCGUCUGCUUCUAAUCAUGUUCUCACUAUGAGACGCUACUUUACUGUGUGGCCUCAAAUCAGGUAGGAUUACCCGCUGAACUUAAGCAUAUCAAUAAGCGGAGGAAAAGAAACUAACAAGGAUUCCCCUAGUAACGGCGAGUGAAGCGGGAUGAGCUCAAAUUUGUAAUCUGGUGGACUCAGUUCAUCCGAGUUGUAAUCUAUAGAAAAGUUUUCCGCGCCGGACCGUGUCUAAGUCCCUUGGAACAGGGUGUCAGAGAGGGUGAGAAUCCCGUGCUUGAUACGACCACCGGUGCUAUGUGAUACUUUUUCAACGAGUCGAGUUGUUUGGGAAU
rnacentral:sRNA from 1 species